rnacentral:lncRNA from 1 species
AAAGACUAAAAGUAGAUGCUACCCAAGACCUUGGAAAGCAAAAUACCUUUAUAGUAUGAAACCUCGCAGUUUCACUUCUUCAGUAGACUGCAGAUGUGAUAAGAGGAUGUUGAUUUAAAAGCAUGAGAGUGUUUGAGAAACAGUACUGAAUUCCAAUAAGAACAACAGCUCAAGCCCUUCACAAUAAAUUUCCCUUUCUUUCCAAGAAGGGAUAGUAAUUACAGACAUUCAUACCAUCUAUAAGACUGUCAAACAGGGUAAGGAUUUUUUUAGAAAAGUGUAUCAGUGAAUGGAAAAAAGGAAUAGAGUGAAAUCCCUGCUUAAUU